AUAUGCAGCUAGAGACACGAGCUUUGAGGGUACUGGUUAGUUCAUAUUGUUGUUCCACCUAUAGGGUUGCAGACCCCUUCAGUUCCUUGGGCGCUUUCUCUAGCUUCUCAAUUGGGGGCCCCAUGUUCCAUCUUGUACAUGACUGUGAGCAUCCACCUCUGUAUUUGCCAGGCACUGGCAUAGCCUCAUACAAGACAGCUAUAUCAGGGUCCCUUCAGCAAAAUCUUGCUGGUAUAUGCAAUAGUGUCUGUGUUUGGUGGCUGAUUAUGGGAUGGAUCUCCAAGUGGGGUAGUCUCUGGAUAGUCCAUCCUUUUGUCUUAGCUCCAAACUUUGUCUCCAUAACUCCUUUCAUCGUUAUUUUGUUCCCUAUUCUAAGGAGGAAUGAAGUAUCCACAUGUUGGUCUUCCCUCUUGAUUUUCUUGUGUUUUGCAAAUUGUAUCUUGGGUAUUCUUAGUUUCUGGGCUAAUAUCCACUUAUCAGUGAGUGCAUAUCUAAUGACUUCUUUUGUGAUUGGAUUACCUCACUCAGGAUGAUAUCCUCCAGAUACAGCCAUUUCCCCAAAAUUUCAUAAAUUCAUUGUUUUUAACUAUUUAUAAUUGAUUGUGAAAGCUAUUAUUUACUACUUGCAUAUGUGUACCAUGUUUUCUUCCAGUAUUUCUAUUAAAUUUUUAUAUUAUAAAUAUUGAUUCAAUUAUGGACAUAGUUCUGUAUCUUAUUCUUUCCUUGACAGUUCUUAACAUAUUUCAUAUUUAUAAAUACGUUCUUAGUUGUAAUAGAAUCAUAUCACUUUACCCUUCCAUUUCUUCCCUGUAGCCUCUUCCAGUAACUUUCCUCAAACCCUUCUCAUGUCCCACCUCUCUCAAGGAGAUAAGCACAUUUUAUUUGAUUAUUAUUGUUACAUUAUUAUACAUGUGUAUGCAUAUAUGUGUGUAUAGACACAAAAAGCAUUUUAUUUAUUUAUUUGUUUGUUUGUUUGUUUAUGUAUUUAUUUCUGAGUAUUUUUAUUUUUGUGUGUAAAUGAUUUAAAGGCUGAUUAUACUGAAUUGGACACCCAAUAAGGAAACUCAUUCCUGGGAAAGACUAAUUCUGUUUUUUUUUUUUUCCAGCAGUCAUUGGUCUCUUACAGUUCUUUGUGUAGAAAUGGGAUUCCAUAAAAUUUUUCAGUUCUAUGUUAACAUGUUCAUUAAUAUUACUAUUGUUCCAAUCUUCUUUCUGCAGCUAUUUUUGGAAAGACAAUUUCAUAAGUGACUUCCUGGCAUACUGGCUCUUAAAAUAUUUCCAACACAACUUCUAUGUUUUUCCCUAAGCCAUAUAUACAAGAACUGUAAUAUUGCUGUAUUGUUGUGCUCAGUUCCUCAUGAUCCAGUGAUUUCUGUAUUGUUUCCAGUUGUGGUUUUCUUUGAUGGUCUCCAUUUGCUAUAAUGAAAGAUCUAAUUCAUGAGGGGUGAGGAGCUACCCUACUGGCUAGUAUAUCACUAACCUUUUGGAUGUAGUAAAGAAUUGUUCUAUUAUAGCAAAGUAACACUAGCAGAUUCUUUUCAAAGGUCCAUUACAUCACUAGCUCAGGGAAAUUGGCUAGAUUUCCAUUACCAGGAAUGGUUUUCUUCCUUUUGAGUGGGAUAAAUGUACAUUUAUGCUGCUGUUGGUUGCUACCAGCAUAUGUGUGUCACUUACAGCAUCUUUGUGCAUAUCUUACCAUGCUGAUAAUUGUCAUGGUUUAUAGGUGUUACAGCUGGUUGAACUAUUACUUGUUAACUAUCUUAGAGGAGUCUAAAAAUUAUAGUAUUUAUUCUAUCUCUCUUUCUUAUAACUCCAAGUCUUUAUUAGUAGAUAAGCUUCCUUUUAUGUUUGAUGAUAUUAUUUUUUAGGUAGCCAAAUUGUUCAGGUAACACAAAGAAGCACUCAACAAUCUACAUGGAAUAGUGAUUUCCUGGUGGAUUUUUGGGUGGUAUGCAUAGAAUAUGUGACACCUUGGUUCCAGACUAUUUUUUAUGUACAGCUAAAUAAAUAUGAAGGCAUAUUGAAGCACUUAGGUUUCACUGUCGUUUCAAAUAGGUGCCAUCCAAUAGCAAUAUAUGUGACAGAGAAGAGGUACCAGUCACCACCUGAAAACAUCAGGUCAGUAAUCUGAGACUUAAAGUAGUUAAAUUUAGUGGGACUAGUUAAUUAUUAAAUUGUAUGUAACAUGGGCAUUCUUGAAUUAGCUGCAUAUUUUAGGAAAUGUUCCUCUAGGAAACUGCAUGACCUAAUUUUUAAGAACUAAGGGUCUCUUAGUGACUAAAAAUCCAGCUCAGUAAAGUUAAAAAAUUAUAAAGUUGUAAAGAACUAUAGGUAGAUACUAGACAAUAUGCGUUUCUUGCAGUAAUAAUCAAGGGAAUAAAACCAUACUAAGAAAGCUGAUAUUUAUAUCAGCCUUCUCCUUGGGGUGAUUUUCUAAAUUGUAGUUGAAAAAGUGAUAGUGUUCAGAUAAAAGAAGUAAAAUUAUCUCGAGAUUGAUAAGGCAGC
rnacentral:lncRNA from 1 species